rnacentral:rRNA from 1 species
AUUGAACGCUGGCGGCAGGCCUAACACAUGCAAGUCGAGCGAGCGGCGGACGGGUGAGUAAUGUCUGGGAAACUGCCUGAUGGAGGGGGAUAACUACUGGCAACGGUAUCUAAUACCGCAUACCAUCAGAUGUGCCCAGAUGGGAUUAGCUAGUAGGUUGGGUAACGGCUCACCUAGGCGCCGAUCCCUAGCUGGACUGAGAGGAUGACCAGCCACACUGGAACUGAGCUACGGUCCAGACUCCGACGGGGGGCAGCAGUGGGGAAUAUUGCACAAUGGGCGCAAUCCUGAUGCAGCCAUGCAGCGUGAGUGAAGAAGGCCUUCGGGGUGUAAAGCACUUUCAGCGGGGAGGCGUUUGCCGCAGAAGAAGCAACGGCUAACUCCGUGCCAGCAGCCGCGGUAAUUC